rnacentral:rRNA from 1 species
AUUGAACGCUGGCGGCAGGCCUAACACAUGCAAGUCGAGCGACGGGCGGACGGGUGAGGAAUGUCUAGGAAACUGCCUGAUGGAGGGGGAUAACUACUGGAAACGGUAGCUAAUACCGCAUACCAUCAGAUGUGCCCAGAUGGGAGUAGCUAGUAGGUGGGGUAAUGGCCCACAACGGGGACGAUCCCUAGCUGGUCUGAGAGGAUGACCAGGCACACUGGAACUGAGACACGGUCCAGACUCCUACGGGAGGCAGCAGUGGGGAAUAUUGCACAAUGGGCGCAAGCCUGAUGCAGCCAUGCCGCGUGUGUGAAGAAGGCCUUCGGGUUGUAAAGCACUUUCAGCGGGGAGGCGUUACCCUCAGAAGAAGCACCGGCUAACUCCGUGCCAGCAGCCGCGGUAAUAC